AAUAAAUAAAUUAAAAUGUGAACAGUGAAAAAAAAAACAUUAAAACAAAUAUGGGCCGUUUAGUCAGCAACUACACAAAAUUUCCUUUAAAUUGCAGUGAUUUUCGUUUACAUUUUGAAUAAAGGCAACACUGAUAUUGUAUUUUCACAGCAAAACAAAAACUACAGCAACAACAACACGAACUAAACAGAGAAAAUUUACAGUUUGGAAAGCAUUGUUCACCAUAUAUACACGCAGAGAACAGCAACUAAAACAAGUGAAAAGAAAAAAACAAACACAAAAAAAUCACAAACAAAACACGAUGAACAAAAAAAAUCACAUAGAAAAACAAGGAAAAAGAAUGACAAGCAUAAAAAGGAUUUGGCAAGAAAAAAGGAGCGCCCUUUUUUUCCCAUAACAAGGCAAGAAAAAAGUGCUCCAACAAAAAAAAAACAACAAUCAAAGACAGGUAAAAGAAAAAUAUGUUGUUGGGGUAAUGGAAAAAAACCAACAACAACAGCAGCUAAACAAAUACACGCAACUACAAGAAACCAGAAAAAUUUGCAACAAAGAGACAAAGGUCAAUUUUAGUGAUUUUUUUUUUUUUCUAAAAAGAAGAAGACAAAUUUGCCAAACUUACCUUUUGUUAAUGGUUUAAUCCUUUUUUUCUUGAAAUUAUAAUCCUUUAAGACUCUAUUUGGACAGGGUUUUAAUUAUUUCAUGUAUUUUCUAUAACUAAACUUUCACUUGUUUGUUUUUUAGUAAUUUUCUAUUUAAAUUGUAAUUAAAAUAUUUUGUUUUUUUUUUUAUUUGUGGAAAAUAGAUUUCGUAUUUUUUGUUAAAUAAUUUUAUUGCUUAAUAAACUUGGUUUUACAAUAGGUUUGUUUUUAUAUAGAAUUUUUUUAGAGCGGCUUUUGUUUAAUA